rnacentral:rRNA from 1 species
UCGAGAAUCUUCGGCAAUGGGCGAAAGCCUGACCGAGCGACGCCGCGUGGAGGACGAAGGCCUUCGGGUUGUAAACUCCUGUCGAGGGGGAGGAAGGGGAAACCUUGACCGAUCCCUGGAGGAAGCACGGGCUAAGUUCGUGCCAGCAGCCGCGGUAAGACGAACCGUGCAAACGUUAUUCGGAAUCACUGGGCUUAAAGCGCGUGUAGGCGGAUGGGAACGUCGGUUACUGAAAGCCCCCGGCUCAACCGGGGAACGUGUGCCGAAACGGCCCGUCUGGAGGGACGUAGGGGGAUCUGGAACUUCCGGUGGAGCGGUGAAAUGCGUUGAGAUCGGAAGGAACGCCCGUGGCGAAAGCGAGAUCCUGGACGUCUGCUGACGCUGAGACGCGAAAGCUAGGGGAGCAAACG